rnacentral:rRNA from 1 species
AUAUUGCACAAUGGAGGAAACUCUGAUGCAGCGACGCCGCGUGAGGGAAGACGGUCUUCGGAUUGUAAACCUCUGUCUUUAGGGACGAAAAAAUGACGGUACCUAAGGAGGAAGCCACGGCUAACUACGUGCCAGCAGCCGCGGUAAUACGUAGGUGGCAAGCGUUGUCCGGAAUUACUGGGUGUAAAGGGAGCGUAGGCGGGGAGACAAGUUGAAUGUUUAAACUAUCGGCUCAACUGAUAGUCGCGUUCAAAACUAUCACUCUUGAGUGCAGUAGAGGUAGGCGGAAUUCCUAGUGUAGCGGUGAAAUGCGUAGAUAUUAGGAGGAACACCAGUGGCGAAGGCGGCUUGCUGGACAGUAACUGACGUUGAGGCUCGAAAGCGUGGGGAGCAAACAG